CGUUAGCGGGGAGCGGGUCAGGUGCCCCCGAAGCGGAGAGAAGGAGCCUCCGCGGGCCUUUGGGCCCAGGGCUGCCCUGUAAGUCGGGGCCAGUGCCCUGGAGUCCCGGGCACUUUGCGCUCCAGGCAGCGGCCGGAGCCCCCUGUAAGCAGGGGUGCAGCCUCUUUGGCCACUGCUUUGCAUGCCCAGCUGCCUUUGCCCAGAGGGCCCGGCUCCCAGCGGCGGAUGGGACUGCGGCGCUCUGAAGCCGUCGGAGAAGAAAGAAGAGACAGGAGAGGAACUUCGAGGCAAGAGCCAAGAAGAAGAGCGGCAGCGGCGAGCUCAAGAGUGGAGCGGCGAGGCAAGAGCCAAGAAGAAGAGCAGCGGCGGCGAGCUCAAGAGGGGGCACGACAGAGACCCUCUGGGCAAAGG